rnacentral:rRNA from 1 species
UCGAGCGGAAGCGAGUUAUCUGAACCUUCGGGGAACGAUAACGGCGUCGAGCGGCGGACGGGUGAGUAAUGCCUGGGAAAUUGCCCUGAUGUGGGGGAUAACCAUUGGAAACAAUGGCUAAUACCGCAUAAUAGCUUCGGCUCAAAGAGGGGGACCUUCGGGCCUCUCGCGUCAGGAUAUGCCCAGGUGGGAUUAGCUAGUUGGUGAGGUAAGGGCUCACCAAGGCGACGAUCCCUAGCUGGUCUGAGAGGAUGAUCAGCCACACUGGAACUGAGACACGGUCCAGACUCCUACGGGAGGCAGCAGUGGGGAAUAUUGCACAAUGGGCGCAAGCCUGAUGCAGCCAUGCCGCGUGUAUGAAGAAGGCCUUCGGGUUGUAAAGUACUUUCAGCAGUGAGGAAGGUUCAUGCGUUAAUAGCGUAUGGAUUUGACGUUAGCUGCAGAAGAAGCACCGGCUAACUCCGUGCCAGCAGCCGCGGUAAUACGGAGGGUGCGAGCGUUAAUCGGAAUUACUGGGCGUAAAGCGCAUGCAGGUGGUUUGUUAAGUCAGAUGUGAAAGCCCGGGGCUCAACCUCGGAACUGCAUUUGAAACUGGC